GACCACCAUCUGAUGCCUGAAGAGAGGCCUGUGUAGGUCUGCUAGACUGACCCUGUCGAAACCGUCGUCCGGCCCUGUCAUGAUAAUCCCUAGACCUGGGGCGGGAGUCACUGUAGCUGCCCUCAUGCCUAGCCCUCUUCUAGCUGCCUCCUUGGGCCUCGCGACGAAGAUGCUCCAUAGUACUAGCAUGGUCAACUACGUCUA
rnacentral:lncRNA from 1 species